UGAUGACGAGACGCUAAGGCGUUGAAGCAGUGUAUGUCAGACUUCCAAGAAAAGCUCGCAAUGUCACAAAUGAAAAAUGCCUGUACCAUAACCGACACAGGUGGGUAGGUAGAGUAUACUAAGGGGCGCGAGAUAACUCUCUCUAAGGAACUCGGCAAAAUGACUCCGUAACUUCGGGAGAAGGAGUGCCUUAUUUAUAAGGUUGCAAUAACAAGAUCCAAGCAACUGUUUAUCAAAAACACAGGUCUCCGCUAAGUCGUAAGACGAUGUAUGGGGGCUGACGCCUGCCCAGUGCCAGAAGGUUAAAGAAGUUGGUUAGUGUAUGCGAAGCUGAUGACUGAAGCCCUGGUGAACGGCGGCCGUAACUAUAACGGUCCUAAGGUAGCGAAAUUCCUUGUCGGGUUAGUUCCGACCCGCACGAAAGGCGUAAUGAUUUGGAUACUGUCUCGGAGAGAGGCUCGGUGAAAUAGACUUGUCUGUGAAGAUGCGGACUACCUGCACCAGGACAGAAAGACCCUAUGAAGCUUUACUGUAACUUGAAAUUGGAAUUGGACUUUGCUUGCGCAGUAUAGGUGGGAAGCGUUGAAAAUAUUCUUGCGGGAGUAUUGGAGCUAUCAGUGAGAUACCACUCUUGUAAUGUUAGAUUUCUAACUUUGAACCAUAAUCUGGUCAAAGAACAGUUUCAGGUGGGCAGUUUGACUGGGGCGGUCGCCUCCCAAAUGGUAACGGAGGCGUACAAAGGUUUCCUCUGAACGGAUAGAAAUCGUAUCUAGAGUGUAAAGGCAUAAGGAAGCUUGACUGUGAGACCUACAAGUCGAGCAGGGACGAAAGUCGGUCUUAGUGAUCUGACGGUACUGAGUGGAAAGGCCGUCACUCAACGGAUAAAAGUUACUCUAGGGAUAACAGGCUGAUCUCCCCCAAGAGUUCACAUCGACGGGGAGGUUUGGCACCUCGAUGUCGGCUCAUCGCAUCCUGGGGCGGUAGUACGUCCCAAGGGUUGGGCUGUUCGCCCAUGAAAGCGGUACGCGAGCUGGGUUCAGAACGUCGUGAGACAGUUCGGUCCAUAUCCGGUGUAGGCGCUAGAAUAUUGAGAGGAGCCUUCUUUAGUACGAGAGGACCGAGAAGGACACACCGCUGGUGUACCAGUUAUCGUGCCAACGGUAAACGCUGGGUAGCUAUGUGUGGAGUGGAUAACCGCUGAAAGCAUCUAAGUGGGAAGCCCACCUCGAGAUGAGUAUUC
rnacentral:rRNA from 1 species